GACGAACGCUGGCGGCGUGCUUAACACAUGCAAGUCGAACGGAAAGGCCCGCUUGCGGGUACUCGAGUGGCGAACGGGUGAGUAACACGUGGGCAACCUGCCCUCAGCUUUGGGAUAACUCCCGGAAACGGGUGCUAAUACCGAAUAUUGACAUUUCCUCGCAUGGGGUUUGUUGAAAGUUUUUCGGCUGGGGAUGGGCCCGCGGCCUAUCAGCUUGUUGGUGGGGUGAUGGCCUACCAAGGCGACGACGGGUAGCCGGCCUGAGAGGGCGAUCGGCCACACUGGAACUGAGACACGGUCCAGACUCCUACGGGAGGCAGCAGUGGGGAAUAUUGCGCAAUGGGCGGAASUGACGCAGCAACGCCGCGUGAGGGAUGAAGGUCUUCGGAUUGUAAACCUCUUUCAGUAGGGACGAAUUUAGACGGUACCUGCAGAAGAAGCACCGGCCAACUACGUGCCAGCAGCCGCGGUAAUACGUAGGGUGCGAGCGUUGUCCGGAAUUAUUGGGCGUAAAGAGCUCGUAGGCGGUUCGUCGCGUCGAAUGUGAAAUCCCGGGGCUCAACUCCGGGUCUGCAUUCGAUACGGGCGGACUAGAGUUCGGUAGGGGAGACUGGAAUUCCUGGUGUAGCGGUGAAAUGCGCAGAUAUCAGGAGGAACACCGGUGGCGAAGGCGGGUCUCUGGGCCGAUACUGACGCUGAGGAGCGAAAGCGUGGGGAGCGAACAGGAUUAGAUACCCUGGUAGUCCACGCCGUAAACGGUGGGCGCUAGGUGUGGGGGACUUCCACGCUCUCUGUGCCGCAGCUAACGCAUUAAGCGCCCCGCCUGGGGAGUACGGCCGCAAGGCUAAAACUCAAAGGAAUUGACGGGGGCCCGCACAAGCGGCGGAGCAUGCUGAUUAAUUCGAUGCAACGCGAAGAACCUUACCAAGGCUUGACAUACACCGGAAACUUCCAGAAAUGGUUGCCCCGCAAGGUCGGUGUACAGGUGGUGCAUGGUUGUCGUCAGCUCGUGUCGUGAGAUGUUGGGUUAAGUCCCGCAACGAGCGCAACCCUCGUCUUAUGUUGCCAGCACGUCAUGGUGGGRACUCAUAAGAGACUGCCGGGGUCAACUCGGAGGAAGGUGGGGAUGAGGUCAAAUAAUCAUGCCCCUUAUGUCUUGGGCUUCAAGCAUGCUACAAUGGCCGGUACAAAGGGCUGCGAUACCGCGAGGUGGAGCGAAUCCCAAAAAGCCGGUCUCAGUUCGGAUUGGGGUCUGCAACUCGACCCCAUGAAGUCGGAGUCGCUAGUAAUCGCAGAUCAGCAACGCUGCGGUGAAUACGUUCCCGGGCCUUGUACUCACCGCCCGUC
rnacentral:rRNA from 1 species